rnacentral:rRNA from 1 species
ACGAACGCUGGCGGCAGGCCUAACACAUGCAAGUCGAGCGCCCUUUCGGGGGAGCGGCGGACGGGUGAGUAACGCGUGGGAAUAUGCCCUUCUCUACGGAAUAGCCUCGGGAAACUGAGAGUAAUACCGUAUACGCCCUUUGGGGGAAAGAUUUAUCGGGGAAGGAUUAGCCCGCGUUGGAUUAGGUAGUUGGUGGGGUAAUGGCCUACCAAGCCGACGAUCCAUAGCUGGUUUGAGAGGAUGAUCAGCCACACUGGGACUGAGACACGGCCCAGACUCCACGGGGAGGGAGCAAUGGCGAGUGUGGGACAAUGGGGUAAGCGAUGAUCUACUCUUGCCGCGUGGGUGAAGAAGGCCGUAAGGUCAGAAGGCUCUUCGAGCAGGGACGAGAAUGAAGGGACCAGAAGAAGAGGCCCGGGCUAACGCCGUG